UCUACGGGUGGCAGCAGUGAGGAAUAUUGGUCAAUGGACGAGAGUCUGAACCAGCCAAGUAGCGUGAAGGAUGACUGCCCUAUGGGUUGUAAACUUCUUUUAUAUGGGAAUAAAAUGUUCCACGUGUGGGAUUUUGUUUGUACCAUAUGAAUAAGGAUCGGCUAACUCCGUGCCAGCAGCCGCGGUAAUACGGAGGAUCCGAGCGUUAUCCGGAGUUAUUGGGUUUAAAGGGUGCGUAGGCGGACAGUCAAGUCAGCGGUAAAAAUGCGGUGCGCAACGCCGUACAGCCGUUGAAACUGGCAGUCUUGAGUGGGCGAGAAGUAUGCGGAAGGCGUGGUGUAGCGGUGAAAUGCAUAGAUAUCACGCAGAACUCCGAUUGCGAAGGCAGCAUACCGGCGCCCUACUGACGCUGAGGCACGAAAGCGUGGGUAUCGAACAGGAUUAGAGACCCCGGUAGUC
rnacentral:rRNA from 1 species